AUACGUAGGGUGCAAGCGUUAAUCGGAAUUACUGGGCGUAAAGCGUGCGCAGGCGGUUUUUUAAGACAGUGGUGAAAUCCCCGGGCUCAACCUGGGAACUGCCAUUGUGACUGCAAGGCUGGAGGGCGGCAGAGGGGGGUGGAAUUCCGCGGGUAGCAGUGAAAUGCGUAGAUAUGCGGAGGAACACCGAUGGCGAAGGCAAUCCCCUGGGCCUGCACUGACGCUCAUGCACGAAAGCGUGGGGAGCAAACAGGAUUAGAUACCCUGGUAGUCCACGCCCUAAACGAUGUCAACUGGUUGUUGGGGAUUUAUUUUCUCAGUAACGAAGCUAACGCGUGAAGUUGACCGCCUGGGGAGUACGGCCGCAAGGUUAAAACUCAAAGGAAUUGACGGGG
rnacentral:rRNA from 1 species